UACGUAGGUGGCAAGCGUUGUCCGGAAUUAUUGGGCGUAAAGCGCGCGCAGGCGGUCCUUUAAGUCUGAUGUGAAAGCCCACGGCUCAACCGUGGAGGGUCAUUGGAAACUGGGGGACUUGAGUGCAGAAGAGGAAAGCGGAAUUCCACGUGUAGCGGUGAAAUGCGUAGAGAUGUGGAGGAACACCAGUGGCGAAGGCGGCUUUCUGGUCUGUAACUGACGCUCAUGCACGACAGCGUGGGGAUCAAACAGG
rnacentral:rRNA from 1 species